GAGAAGGAGAAGCAGUAGGACGCACAGAGUCCAGGAAAACAUGAUGAUCAGUGAUGUGGGAGCACCGGAGUAGAUUGUCCCAGACAGACUGCGUACAAAAGUGCAUCAGAUAUGGGGAGAAAAGAGGGGGAGGAACGAGCCUCCUUGACAACUGACGGCUUGUUCUGUUGGGGGUCUUCUGUGCUGGAGUCCAGUCCCUGCAGUAACUCCUGCAAACAGCUCAGAUAAUAUCUCCUCAUCUUCCUGGCAGUGUCCUGUCUCUCCCUCUGCACCUCCACACGGAUCAUCUCAGCCGCUCGCUCCCGACUCUCCUGGAGGACCUGGAUCUGCUGUUCCAGAGCCUUUACUUUGUUUUGCAUGUGACCUUCUUGCUCCUUGGCCUCCUCAACGAGUCGCCUCGAUUCCUUCAAGUUUACUACAAGACUCUCUCUUUCAUCUUUAUAAACAUGAAAAUGUGCUCAGGAUUAAGACUAUAAAGGCUCUUUUUUAGUUAUUGUCUUACAAUGUCUUUCAUUAUCACAUUUUCCAACAGUAAAGUGAGGUCAGACAUGGUAAAACUAUUGGUAGAUACAGGCUUGAAAGUCACAGUCAUAGAGCACAUUAUGCAUUAUUGGGUAUUUGUAUUUUUGACCUGU